CACGUAGGGUGCGAGCGUUGUCCGGAAUUAUUGGGCGUAAAGAGCUCGUAGGCGGUGUGUCGCGUCGGCCGUGAAAACCUGCAGCUUAACUGUGGGCUUGCGGUCGAUACGGGCAUCACUGGAGUUCGGCAGGGGAGACUGGAAUUCCCGGUGUAGUGGUGAAAUGCGUAGAGAUCGGGAGGAACACCUGUGGCGAAGGCGGCCGACUGGGCCGACCCUGACGCUGAGGCGCGAAGGCGUGGGGAGCGAACGGG
rnacentral:rRNA from 1 species